GAUGAACGCUGGCGGCGUGCCUAAUACAUGCAAGUCGAGCGAACAGACGAGGAGCUUGCUCCUCUGACGUUAGCGGUGGACGGGUGAGUAACACGUGGAUCACCUCCCUAUAAUACUGGUAUAACUUCGGGAAACCGGAGCUAAUCCCGGAUAACCUGUUGAACCGCAUGGUUCAACAGUGAAAGACGGUCUUGCUGUCAGUUGUGGAUGGAUCCGCGCCGCAUUAGCUGGUUGGUGGGGUAGCGGCUUACCAAGGCUACGAUGGGUAGCCGGCCUGAGAGGGUGACAGGCAACAUUGGGACUGAGAUACGGCCCAGACUCCUACGGGAGGCAGCAGUGGGGAAUAUUGCACAAUGGGCGGAAGCCUGAUGCAGCAACGCCGCGUGCGGGAUGACGGCCUUCGGGUUGUAAACCGCUUUCGCCUGUGACGAAGCGUGAGUGACGGGAAUGGGUAAAGAAGCACCGGCUAACUACGUG
rnacentral:rRNA from 1 species